rnacentral:rRNA from 1 species
AUGAGAGUUGGGCCUCCUAAUUCCCCUUUCCCUUCCCUUCUUAAUUCCCAAGUCCAUGAACCAAUCAAAAGAUUUUUAGUCCCAGCCACCUUAAAUUCCCAUUCCCUAGCUUCAACUCCCCCUAAACAAACAGGCUACGGGUUAGAGAGGGAGAGAGGGACCGGAGAUGCGCCGGCUGCCGCCCCGCCGGUCGAGUGUCAAGGCAGCCCAUCUCCCUCUUCGCGCCAUCGCCAUCUAAGCCUCCCUAUGAGGAUAGCGUGGUGUUCCAGAAGAGGCACACAAAUAAGCAGCUCUUUUUCGAGCUGCAAUUCGGAACCGAAGCGGCUCCUUUUCGAGCUGCAAUCAGCAAUCAAGCAGCUCCUAUCCGAGCUGCAAUUCGACAUCGACGCGGCUCCCCACCGAGCUCUAAUCCGAUUUCGACCCCCUUUCUGUGUAGAUCACGGAAGGGGAUCGAGUCCGUCUCGUGUUCAGUCUGCGAGGUGCAGUCGGAGGCGCAAACGAAGCCAAUAUAAAUUGGCCAGUCGGCCCGACCGGAAGCCAACAGGUCUCAGACGAGACCAGCGAUUCCCCAGCCAGGUUGACGGUCGCCUACCUUCUCCGGCGACCGGCGGCCGCCAAUUCUUAUCGCAUCUUGGCAGAUCUACCCGGAGCCAUGGGGGUUUUUUGUUUUCAUCAAAGAUGCCAAAAAUUGACAUCUUUUAG